CGCGCUCCCUCCGCGUUAACUCAUCGCCCUGUCGCGCCCGCUUCUCCAGCGGGUUCGGCGGUCGGGGGAGGACAGUGAUCGAGUUCGAAGUUCGGAGGGUCUCUGCGUCUCUGGGGUUUCUAUCACUGCUCCUUCCAGCCCUCAAGCGGCUACUCCGAAGAAUGACGAAGGGCCCUACUUGCGUAGAUUCGUGGGAUGAUUUUACCAAGAAGGAAAAGGGGGAAAAGAAAUCACAAUUAUUGAGGGUCCAGCCUUGGUCAGAUUCCGUGUCAGACCCUUCCAACUUGACAUUAUUGACUCUUCACAACUCUUCAUUUUGUAGUCCAGGAAGCAGGCUCCGAGAGACUGCCUAGAAAAAACAGCACCCGGAUCUGAAUUCGAGGCCGUCCCACACCCAUCCCGGUACGGUUCCCAGCAGAACUGAGCUGGAGUGGCCCUGAUGCAAAUGAACUUAGAUCCCAGCUGCUUGUGAUGGAAGCCAAUCCCAGCUUUCCCAAGCUUACAGGUUUUUUCCAGAAGAAGCCAACUUGAUCUCCCGGAACACGAAUUCAGCAGGCUCUCAUCUCAGAACUGCCUCCAAUCCAUCCCAUACCCCUUCACACUUCAGUCCUUGGUAUUUUCUCCGAUCACACCUUCCACUCCUCCUUCAUAUUUGCAAGUCUCUCCCUGCAGAAUCUGCCCCGAGGAGCAAAGGACAUUUUUCCAUGGGGAACAGAAUUUUAGAAUUUCCCUUUGUACCCAGUGAGAAAGACUAAAGUUUGGUAUAGGAAAUAACCCAAAGACAAAUCUAUACACUGCAUAGAACACAGGAAGCCUGGGCUCUGAAAACAUAAAAGACACCAAAUCAUUCCUGGAGCACUUGUGAAGUUUUGGAAAAUUCCUUUAACCUCUCUAAACCUCAGUCUCCUCAUUUGUAAAAUGAACAUAAUAAAUAUUUUUUCUUGCCUAUGUCAA
rnacentral:lncRNA from 1 species